rnacentral:lncRNA from 1 species
AGAUGCAAGAGCGGUUGAAAUUUGGAAAGGUAUUAUAUCAAUCCAUAUAACACAAUCUAUUCCUUUCCACAUUGAAGAGAUUACAAAUAACCGCAAGUAGUUGUUCAUGUUUGCUCAUGCAAUCUAGUCACAGCUAUAGUAAGCGUUGAGCAACUCACAGAGAGAGCAAUGCUUCACAUUGAGCUAUCAAAAAGUAUAUUCAAAGACCUCACUUACACAUUGAGCAGCUCAGAGGACAAUAAACAGUAAGGCAGAUUCUUAUCAUUGAGCUAUAUGAAGAACUUUAUUAUCUAGUUAUGUACAAUGGUAUUCACAAAUUUAACCUCAUUUACAUCAAUUUAUGAUUCAGGUCGUUGACCAUCUGGACAUCAACU